AUUGAACGCUGGCGGCAGGCCUAACACAUGCAAGUCGAACGGUAGCACAGAGAGCUUGCUCUCGGGUGACGAGUGGCGGACGGGUGAGUAAUGUCUGGGAAACUGCCCGAUGGAGGGGGAUAACUACUGGAAACGGUAGCUAAUACCGCAUAACGUCGCAAGACCAAAGUGGGGGACCUUCGGGCCUCACACCAUCGGAUGUGCCCAGAUGGGAUUAGCUAGUAGGUGGGGUAAUGGCUCGCCUAGGCGACGAUCCCCAGCUGGUCUGAGAGGAUGACCAGCCACACUGGAACUGAGACACGGUCCAGACUCCUACGGGAGGCAGCAGUGGGGAAUAUUGCACAAUGGGCGCAAGCCUGAUGCAGCCAUGCCGCGUGUAUGAAGAAGGCCUUCGGGUUGUAAAGUACUUUCAGCGGGGAGGAAGGCGGUGAAGUUAAUAACUUCACCGAUUGACGUUACCCGCAGAAGAAGCACCGGCUAACUCCGUGCCAGCAGCCGCGGUAA
rnacentral:rRNA from 1 species